GAUGAAGAACGCAGCGAAAUGCGAUAAGUAAUGUGAAUUGCAGAAUUCAGUGAAUCAUCGAAUCUUUGAACGCACAUUGCGCCCCUUGGUAUUCCGAGGGGCAUGCCUGUUCGAGCGUCAUUAUAACCCCUCAAGCUCAGCUUGGUGUUGGGGCCUGCUGCACUGGCAGCCCUUAAAAUCAGUGGCGGCGCCAUCUCGCUCUAAGCGUAGUAAUUCUUCUCGCUAUGGAGUCCUGGUGGAUGCUUGCCAUCAACCCCCAAUUUUUCUAUGGUUGACCUCGGAUCAGGUAGGGAUACCCGCUGAACUUAAGCAUAUCAAUAAGCGGAGGA
rnacentral:misc_RNA from 1 species